rnacentral:rRNA from 1 species
ACACAUGCAAGUCGAGCGGGCGAGGUUGCUUCGGUAACUGAGCUAGCGGCGGACGGGUGAGUAAUGCUUAGGAAUCUGCCUAUUAGUGGGGGACAACAUUCCGAAAGGAAUGCUAAUACCGCAUACGCCCUACGGGGGAAAGCAGGGGAUCUUCGGACCUUGCGCUAAUAGAUGAGCCUAAGUCAGAUUAGCUAGUUGGUGGGGUAAAGGCCUACCAAGGCGACGAUCUGUAGCGGGUCUGAGAGGAUGAUCCGCCACACUGGGACUGAGACACGGCCCAGACUCCUACGGGAGGCAGCAGUGGGGAAUAUUGGACAAUGGGCGGAAGCCUGAUCCAGCCAUGCCGCGUGUGUGAAGAAGGCCUUUUGGUUGUAAAGCACUUUAAGCGAGGAGGAGGCUACUUGGAUUAAUACUCUAGGAUAGUGGACGUUACUCGCAGAAUAAGCACCGGCUAACUCUGUGCCAGCAGCCGCGGUAAUACAGAGGGUGCGAGCGUUAAUCGGAUUUACUGGGCGUAAAGCGUGCGUAGGCGGCUUCUUAAGUCGGAUGUGAAAUCCCUGAGCUUAACUUAGGAAUUGCAUUCGAUACUGGGAAGCUAGAGUAUGGGAGAGGAUGGUAGAAUUCCAGGUGUAGCGGUGAAAUGCGUAGAGAUCUGGAGGAAUACCGAUGGCGAAGGCAGCCAUCUGGCCUAAUACUGACGCUGAGGUACGAAAGCAUGGGGAGCAAACAGGAUUAGAUACCCUGGUAGUCCAUGCCGUAAACGAUGUCUACUA